rnacentral:rRNA from 1 species
AACGAACGCUGGCGGCAUGCCUAACACAUGCAAGUCGAACGAGACCUUCGGGUCUAGUGGCGCACGGGGGUGUAACGCGUGGGAACCUGCCCUUAGGUUCGGAAUAACUCCCCGAAAGGGGUGCUAAUACCGGAUAAUGUCUUCGGACCAAAGAUUUAUCGCCUUUGGAUGGGCCCGCGUUGGAUUAGCUAGUUGGUAGGGUAAAAGCCUACCAAGGCGACGAUCCAUAGCUGGUCUGAGAGGAUGAUCAGCCACACUGGGACUGAGACACGGCCCAGACUCCUACGGGAGGCAGCAGUGGGGAAUAUUGGACAAUGGGCGGAAGCCUGAUCCAGCAAUGCCGCGUGAGUGAUGAAGGCCUUAGAGUUGUAAAGCUCUUUUACCCGGGAUGAUAAUGACAGUACCGGGAGAAUAAGCUCCGGCUAACUCCGUG